AAAAUCAAAACUACAAAAUCCUAAGCCUCCAUCUCCCUAAUUUAGCCGAAUCACCAAACAUUUCAUUCCCAAACGCCCUUUCGUCAUCGACUUCAUUUGAACCCCUAUCCGAGCUUCGAUUUCAACGAAGUGAACAAGGAUUCGAAGCCACUAAAAGGUACGGAGCCAGCUGGAGGUGGUGACGCACGUGGGAUGAGGCGUGAAGGAUGCGCACGUGGGGCUGGCACGGAGGAGGCUCGGGGCUCUGUGGCGCUGGAGACCCUCGCUGAGGAAGCUGCAAUGUUGGUCCUAGGGUUUCAGUCCCUGAAAUAAAAAAUUGGGCCACCUGGGUUGGGUUUCAAUUGGUUUAAAUAUUUGGGCUAGGAUUUGGCCUUGGUUUUAUUUGGGCUUCAAUUAAUGCUUUGGAUCUUUGUAUUUAUGGACUGUGGACUAUAUUUUAUUUUUAUUUGGUUUAUUUAUUUGUUUGUAAAUAAAUUUAAAGGCCAGGGCAAAAUGGGCCUUCUACAGUAUUGAUAUUGUUAUUAUUGUACAACUUGAAUUCAAGGGUACUUAAGUGUAUUUUUCUUUCUAUUUAA